ACCUAGCCGCGAUGGGAACGGCAUCCUCGCCUUGGCGAGAUAUAGUGUACAGCGCGCCGAGUA
rnacentral:sRNA from 1 species